rnacentral:lncRNA from 1 species
GGCAGUCUUUUCCUUUAUUAUACCAGGCAUACAAUCAACAUAGAAACUUAAACAUUAUUCAAAAUCACAACAUAGUAGUCACUUAAUACGUAUUUUAAAUCUGAAAUGGCAAGUCAUCCUAAUGUCAUAUUAUCAUAUAUUACUAUAAAAUAAAGUCAAUCAUUAUUUUAAUAAUGGAUUAAGCAUUUAAAAAAAAGCGUAAGAAGUCUCCACGAUAUUUUUAUUGGCACUAAGUAUCUCUAUUCUUCAUCUGCUCUUUUAAACCUCUUGUUUCAAUCCUAUUUUAAAUCCUGGGGGAGUCUAAGACUAUUUCUUCAUGGUCAAGUCAACCAAAGAAUCCACCCCUGCCUCCUUAAUGUAGGCUCCCAGGCAAGGAGGGGCUCUACCUCCACCCUGCUUCCCCACCCCAGGUACUAGGAGGCAGGCGAUCCCCUUAACCUUUAAAAACAAACUUCACUGAUAGAAAGAAAUAAAGAGUUAAAGGAAUAAAAAGAAACAAAACCCUAGGUAGUCAUAACUUGGAUGACUAGUUUUGACUAAUUCAGGAUUCUGGUAAAGUAAUGGAAUUGUCCUAGUUACAAGGAUAACUGUUUCUUCUGGAAAAAUAUCAAUUCCUUGGUAGCUAGAAAUUUUAAUUAUGUGGAGUAAAAGAUUGCCUGCUACCUCAGGACUGUUGGAAAUAAGACAGUUUUCCAUGAGGUCUUUGGUCCUGUUGCAAAGUUAAUAUUAUUGGGUAUACGUAUGCAUAAAUACAUGCAUACACACAUGUACCUUGAGAUGUGUGCACAUUUCAAAAUAAUUAGCUCCAUAAGAAAAAAGAAACCUUGUAGAAAACCACAUAAAUGUCCAACAUUUUUCACAAUUUAAACAGUAAGGGCAUGUUAUUAGUUGAAUUGAAAAAUCUCUUAGCUGAAACUAGAUGUUUUAAAAACACAGGCCAAAAGCAACCACUUAACUAGUGUAAUUUUAAACAGGAAAUUUCAUGCCUUUUUUUUUUUUUUUGAGACAGAGUCUUGCUUGCUCUGUCACCCAGGCUGGAGUGCAGUGGUG